rnacentral:rRNA from 1 species
GGCCCCCUGGACAAGACUGACGCUCAGGUGCGAAAGCGUGGGGAGCAACAGGAUAGAUACCCUGGUAGUCACGCUGUAACGAUGUCGAUUUGGAGGUGUUCCCUUGAGGAGUGGCUUCCGGAGCUAACGCGUAAUCGACGCCUGGGGAGUACGGCCGCAAGGUUAAAACUCAAAUGAAUUGACGGGGGCCCGCACAAGCGGUGGAGCAUGUGGUUUAAUUCGAUGCAACGCGAAGAACCUUACCUACUCUUGACAUCCAGAGAAUUUAGCAGAGAUGCUUUAGUGCCUUCGGGAACUCUGAGACAGGUGCUGCAUGGCUGUCGUCAGCUCGUGUUGUGAAAUGUUGGGUUAAGUCCCGCAACGAGCGCAACCCUUAUCCUUUGUUGCCAGCACAUUAUGGUGGGAACUCAAAGGAGACUGCCGGUGAUAAACCGGAGGAAGGUGGGGAUGACGUCAAGUCAUCAUGGCCCUUACGAGUAGGGCUACACACGUGCUACAAUGGCGUAUACAAAGAGAAGCGACCUCGCGAGAGCAAGCGGAACUCAUAAAGUACGUCGUAGUCCGGAUUGGAGUCUGCAACUCGACUCCAUGAAGUCGGAAUCGCUAGUAAUCGUAGAUCAGAAUGCUACGGUGAAUACGUUCCCGGGCCUUGUACACACCGCCCGUCACACCAUGGGAGUGGGUUGCAAAAGAAGUAGGUAGCUUAACCUUCGGGAGGGCGCUUACCACUUUGUGAUUCAUGACUGGGGUGAAGUCGUAACAAGGUAACCA